AGUAAUGCAUAGAUAAUGUCCCCCCUUAGUUCGGGAUAGCCACUGGAAACGGUGAUUAAUACCGGAUACUCCUUCCUUGUUAUAAGACAAGUCGGGAAAGUUUUUCGCUAAGGGAUCAGUCUAUGUUCCAUCAGCUUGUUGGUGAGGUAAUGGCUCACCAAGGCUAUGACGGAUAUCUGGUUUGAGAGGAUGAUCAGACACCCCGGAACUGAGACACGGUCCAGACUCCUACGGGAGGCAGCAGUGAGGAAUAUUGCCCAAUGGAGGAAACUCUGAUGCAGCAACGCCGCGUGGAGGAUGACGCAUUUCGGUGUGUAAACUCCUUUUAUUAGGGAAGAUAAUGACGGUACCUAAUGAAUAAGCCCCGGCUAACUCCGUGCCAGCAGCCGCGGUAAUACGGAGGGUGCAAGCGUUACUCGGAAUCACUGGGCGUAAAGGGUGCGUAGGCUGGCUUUUAAGUCAGAUGUGAAAUCCAAUGGCUCAACCAUUGAACUGCAUUUGAAACUGAAAGCCUAGAGUUCAGAAGGGGCAGAUGGAAUUAGUGGUGUAGGGGUAAAAUCCGUAGAUAUCACUAGGAAUAUCAAAAGCGAAGGCGAUCCUAGUAAUGCAUAGAUAAUGUCCCCCCUUAGUUCGGGAUAGCCACUGGAAACGGUGAUUAAUACCGGAUACUCCUUCCUUGUUAUAAGACAAGUCGGGAAAGUUUUUCGCUAAGGGAUCAGUCUAUGUUCCAUCAGCUUGUUGGUGAGGUAAUGGCUCACCAAGGCUAUGACGGAUAUCUGGUUUGAGAGGAUGAUCAGACACCCCGGAACUGAGACACGGUCCAGACUCCUACGGGAGGCAGCAGUGAGGAAUAUUGCCCAAUGGAGGAAACUCUGAUGCAGCAACGCCGCGUGGAGGAUGACGCAUUUCGGUGUGUAAACUCCUUUUAUUAGGGAAGAUAAUGACGGUACCUAAUGAAUAAGCCCCGGCUAACUCCGUGCCAGCAGCCGCGGUAAUACGGAGGGUGCAAGCGUUACUCGGAAUCACUGGGCGUAAAGGGUGCGUAGGCUGGCUUUUAAGUCAGAUGUGAAAUCCAAUGGCUCAACCAUUGAACUGCAUUUGAAACUGAAAGCCUAGAGUUCAGAAGGGGCAGAUGGAAUUAGUGGUGUAGGGGUAAAAUCCGUAGAUAUCACUAGGAAUAUCAAAAGCGAAGGCGAUCCU
rnacentral:rRNA from 1 species